GGAGUUAGCCGGUGCUUCUUCUGCGAGUAACGUCACAGAUGUAAGGUAUUAACUUACACCCUUUCCUCCUCGCUGAAAGUGCUUUACAACCCGAAGGCCUUCUUCACACACGCGGCAUGGCUGCAUCAGGGUUUCCCCCAUUGUGCAAUAUUCCCCACUGCUGCCUCCCGUAGGAGUCUGGGCCGUGUCUCAGUCCCAGUGUGGCUGAUCAUCCUCUCAGACCAGCUAGGGAUCGUCGCCUAGGUGAGCCUUUACCUCACCUACUAGCUAAUCCCACCUGGGCUUAUCCAUCAGCGCAAGGCCCGAAGGUCCCCUGCUUUCCCCCGUAGGGCGUAUGCGGUAUUAGCAGUCGUUUCCAACUGUUAUCCCCACAAAUGGGCAAAUUCCCAGGCAUUACUCACCCGUCCGCCGCUCGUCAUCUUCAAAAGCAAGCUUUUGAAAUGUUACCGCUCGACUUGCAUGUGUUAGGCCUGCCGCCACGCGUCAUCUGAGCGAGAUACAACUACUCGA
rnacentral:rRNA from 1 species